rnacentral:rRNA from 1 species
GUUUGAUCAUGGCUCAGGAUGAACGCUGGCGGCGUGCUUAACACAUGCAAGUCGAACGAACCUUCGGGUUAGUGGCGGACGGGUGAGUAACGCGUGAGAAUCUGCCCUCAGGAGGGGGAUAACGGCUGGAAACGGCCGCUAAUACCCCAUAUGCCGCGAGGUGAAAUGAAUUUCGCCUGAGGAUGAGCUCGCGUCUGAUUAGCUAGUUGGUGGGGUAAAGGCCUACCAAGGCAUCGAUCAGUAGCUGGUCUGAGAGGAUGAUCAGCCACACUGGGACUGAGACACGGCCCAGACUCCUACGGGAGGCAGCAGUGGGGAAUUUUCCGCAAUGGGCGAAAGCCUGACGGAGCAACGCCGCGUGAGGGAUGAAGGCCUCUGGGCUGUAAACCUCUUUUAUCAAGGAAGAAGAUCUGACGGUACUUGAUGAAUAAGCCACGGCUAAUUCCGUGCCAGCAGCCGCGGUAAUACGGGAGUGGCAAGCGUUAUCCGGAAUUAUUGGGCGUAAAGCGUCCGCAGGCGGCCCUUCAAGUCUGCUGUAAACGUGAGCUUACUCCAUCAUGGCAGUGGAAACUGUUGGGCUUGAGUGUGGUAGGGGCAGAGGGAAUUCCCGGUGUAGCGGUGAAAUGCGUAGAUAUCGGGAAGAACACCAGUGGCGAAGGCGCUCUGCUGGGCCAUCACUGACGCUCAUGGACGAAAGCCAGGGGAGCGAAAGGGAUUAGAUACCCCUGUAGUCCUGGCCGUAAACGAUGAACACUAGGUGUCGGGGGAAUCGACCCCCUCGGUGUCGUAGCCAACGCGUUAAGUGUUCCGCCUGGGGAGUACGCACGCAAGUGUGAAACUCAAAGGAAUUGACGGGGGCCCGCACAAGCGGUGGAGUAUGUGGUUUAAUUCGAUGCAACGCGAAGAACCUUACCAGGGUUUGACAUCCUGCGAAUCUCUUGGAAACGAGAGAGUGCCUUCGGGAGCGCAGUGACAGGUGGUGCAUGGCUGUCGUCAGCUCGUGUCGUGAGAUGUUGGGUUAAGUCCCGCAACGAGCGCAACCCACGUCUUUAGUUGCCAGCAUUUAGUUGGGCACUCUAGAGAGACCGCCGGUGAUAAACCGGAGGAAGGUGUGGAUGACGUCAAGUCAUCAUGCCCCUUACAUCCUGGGCUACACACGUACUACAAUGCUACGGACAAAGAGCAGCAAGUUCGCGAGGACAAGCAAAUCUCAUAAACCGUGGCUCAGUUCAGAUCGUAGGCUGCAACUCGCCUACGUGAAGGAGGAAUCGCUAGUAAUCGCAGGUCAGCAUACUGCGGUGAAUACGUUCCCGGGCCUUGUACACACCGCCCGUCACACCAUGGAAGUUGGCCACGCCCGAAGCCGUUACUCCAACCCUUGUGGAGGAGGACGUCGAAGGUGGGGCUGAUGACUGGGGUGAAGUCGUAACAAGGUAGCCGUA